AACGAACGCUGGCGGCAGGCCUAACACAUGCAAGUCGAGCGAGGACUUCGGUCCUAGCGGCGGACGGGUGAGUAACGCGUGGGAACGUGCCCUUUGCUUCGGAAUAGCCCUGGGAAACUGGGAGUAAUACCGGAUGAGCCCUUUGGGGGAAAGAUUUAUCGGCGAAGGAUCGGCCCGCGUUGGAUUAGGUAGUUGGUGGGGUAAUGGCCUACCAAGCCGACGAUCCAUAGCUGGUUUGAGAGGAUGAUCAGCCACACUGGGACUGAGACACGGCCCAGACUCCUACGGGAGGCAGCAGUGGGGAAUAUUAGACGAUGGGGGAAGACCUGAUCUAGCCAUGCGGCGUGAGCGAUGAAGGCCUUAGGGUUGUAAAGCUCUUUCAGCUGGGAAGAUAAUGACGGUACCAGCAGAAGAAGCCCCGGCUAACUCCGUG
rnacentral:rRNA from 1 species